AGUUCAACAUUGGAUGACCAAUGCCCAAUGGAGAUCCGGUGCACAGAAGAGGGUCCUGGGCCUGGGAUCUUCAGAGCAGAGUUGGGAGACCAGCAGCAACCCAUCUCUCAGUCCCAGCGUUGGUGCUGCCUGCAACGUGGCUGUGUAAUACUGGGAGCCCUGGGGCUGCUGGCUGGAGCAGGUGUUGGUUCCUGGCUCUUAGGUCAGUACUGGGCCCUUCUGUCUGAAGAGGGGAGGAGGACAGGAUCUGAGGGAAGCUUGGAGAUGGAAGCAGGUGCUGAACAGCCACUGUAUGUAGAUGGACAAGCCCC
rnacentral:lncRNA from 1 species